rnacentral:rRNA from 1 species
GAUGAACGCUGGCGGCGUGCCUAAUACAUGCAAGUCGAGCGAACGGACGAGAAGCUUGCUUCUCUGAUGUUAGCGGCGGACGGGUGAGUAACACGUGGAUAACCUACCUAUAAGACUGGGAUAACUUCGGGAAACCGGAGCUAAUACCGGAUAAUAUUUUGAACCGCAUGGUUCAAAAGUGAAGACGGUCUUGCUGUCACUUAUAGGUGGAUCCGCGCUGCAUUAGCUAGUUGGUAAGGUAACGGCUUACCAAGGCAACGAUGCAUAGCCGACCUGAGAGGGUGAUCGGCCACACUGGAACUGAGACACGGUCCAGACUCCUACGGGAGGCAGCAGUAGGGAAUCUUCCGCAAUGGGCGAAAGCCUGACGGAGCAACGCCGCGUGAGUGAUGAAGGUCUUCGGAUCGUAAAACUCUGUUAUUAGGGAAGAACAUAUGUGUAAGUAACUGUGCACAUCUUGACGGUACCUAAUCAGAAAGCCACGGCUAACUACGUG